GACGAACGCUGGCGGCGUGCUUAACACAUGCCAGUCGAACGGAAAGGCCCCUUUGGGGGUACUCGAGUGGCGAACGGGUGAGUAACACGUGAGUAACCUGCCCUUGACUUCGGGAUAACUUCAGGAAACUGGGGCUAAUACCGGAUAGGAAUCCUUGCUGCAUGGUGGGGGUUGGAAAGCUUCGGCGGUUUUGGAUGGACUCGCGGCGUAUCAGCUUGUUGGUGGGGUAGUGGCUUACCAAGGCUUUGACGGGUAGCCGGCCUGAGAGGGCGACCGGCCACAUUGAGACUGAGAUACGGCCCAGACUCCUACGGGAGGCAGCAGUGGGGAAUAUUGCACAAUGGGCGGAAGCCUGAUGCAGCAACGCCGCGUGCGGGAUGACGGCCUUCGGGUUGAAAACCGCUUUCAGCAGGGGCGAAGCUUGUGGUGACGGUACCUGCAGAAGAAGCACCGGCUAACUACGUG
rnacentral:rRNA from 1 species